ensembl:snoRNA LOC120094529 small nucleolar RNA U13
AGCUUUCUGUGGCUCAUAAGGUUAAUGAUUAGGUUUUUAAUGUCACAUGUGAGACCUCCUUCGAGCCUUAUUAUGUGGAAACAUGACUCAUCUGACA